AUCAUGCAUUUUACCAAGCAUUCAGAUUCCUCUGGACCCCAGUGAUAAAAGAUCAAGUUAUCCCAAUCUGAAGUGCAGACGCUGAUCGAGCAGGAGGUUCAAACUGCACUGAAAAAGAAAGAAAACAAGCUGCUGGGUUUAAUAGGAACGAUUCAAGAGCAGGAUGAAUCACUGGACUACAAAAGCUCCAUCCAAAAACUGGAGGAGCGGAUGAACACAGUAACCAGGAGAGCGGAACCAGCUAUCGCCUUCAUGACAAAGACAC